rnacentral:tRNA from 1 species
CCCUGCUUAGCUCAGUUGGUAGAGCGCUCCACUUGUAAUGGAGAGGUCCCGGGUUCGAUACCCGGAGCAGGCG